rnacentral:lncRNA from 1 species
AGACAAGACGGAUUUGGAGUGGGUUAUUUGUUAUUUUAUUUUUGGCUCUUACUUAUCGCCUUAUUCGGAGCGGAUUAAGACGGAAGCGAAUUUUUAACGGAUCAGAACGGAUUGGAGGAGAAAAAGGGCCUCCCGUCUCCCGUCUCCCGCUCCAUUUACUUAGCAGAUUAGGACGGAUUCAGGACGAAUUAUAUGUUUUAUAUUUUUUUUGUUCCCACUUCC